rnacentral:rRNA from 1 species
GUGAAGCGGUAACAGCUCAAAUUUGAAAUCUGGCUCUUUCAGGGUCCGAGUUGUAAUUUGUAGAAGAUGCUUUGGGUGUGGCUCCGGUCUAAGUUCCUUGGAACAGGACGUCAUAGAGGGUGAGAAUCCCGUAUGUGACCGGUGGCUUUCGCCCGUGUAAAGCUCUUUCGACGAGUCGAGUUGUUUGGGAAUGCAGCUCAAAAUGGGUGGUAAAUUUCAUCUAAAGCUAAAUAUUGGCCAGAGACCGAUAGCGCACAAGUAGAGUGAUCGAAAGAUGAAAAGCACUUUGGAAAGAGAGUUAAACAGUACGUGAAAUUGUUGAAAGGGAAGCGCUUGCAACCAGACUCGCAUGCGGCUGAUCAUCCGGGGUUCUCCCCGGUGCACUCGGUCGUCUACGGGCCAGCAUCGGUUUGGGUGGUGGGAUAAAGACCGUCGGAAUGUAGCUUCUCUCGGGGAGUGUUAUAGCCUUCGGUGCAAUGCCGCCUACCUGGACCGAGGACCGCGCUUCGGCUAGGAUGCUGGCGUAAUGGUUGUAAGCGACCCGUCUUGAAACACGGACCAAGGAGUCUAACAUCUAUGCGAGUAUUUGGGUGUCAAACCCAUAUGCGUAAUGAAAGUGAACGGAGGUAAGAGCCCUUAAGGGUGCAUUAUCGACCGAUCCUGAUGUCUUCGGAUGGAUUUGAGUAAGAGCAUAGCUGUUGGGACCCGAAAGAUGGUGAACUAUGCCUAAAUAGGGUGAAGCCAGAGGAAACUCUGGUGGAGGCUCGCAGCGGUUCUGACGUGCAAAUCGAUCGUCAAAUUUGGGUAUA